rnacentral:lncRNA from 1 species
AGGUGUGGAUUAAUGAGUACGAUCACUCCAAGCCCAUCCAGGGGCAGCAGAAGAAGCCCUUUGAGGAGCACUGGAGGAAGCACACCCUGUCCUAUGUGGACGUCAGCACUGGGAAGGUCACCCUGGAAUAUAGACCCGUAAUUGACAAAACUUUGAAUGAGGCUGACUGUGCCGCCAUCCCCCCAGCCAUUCACUCCUGCUGAUGAGACAAGAUGCGGUGAUGACAGAAUCAGCUUUUUGCACAGCCAGAGAACAACACAUCACACACAGGAAACAGUUGUGCUCAUGUGAUGGGGGCCUCAGCACUAGGAAGGAGUGGACUAUUGGCGCAUGUAGCAGCUUGAAUAAAUCUGAAAGUCACUACACUGCGUAAGAGAAGCCAAAUAAAAAAGUUCAUGCUGUGUACAGAGGGUGUUGAGAAUGCCUCCUACGUGACGGAAAGCAGAUCCGUGGUUCCCUGCAGACCGGCAGGAGCAGAUUCCAAAGGCACAGGAAGAAGCUUGCAGGCAGCUGCUCCCAACCCCAGCAACUUUGCUAUCUUAGAACGGAUCACCAGUGAAAGAGGGGAAGUUGCUACUGUGAUGAAUUCUGCCAUGUGGUACCAGACUGCUGCCCAGACCACAGUGUCCUCUGCAACCCUGGUAACUCACAUACAGGCCUGAUUCCACCUACAGCAAAGCUGGAUGCUAUGGUUGGCAGAGGCAAGCCCCUUGCCUGCACUUCAGGCCAAAGCCGGGAUGUGGCCUAGAUGGUUCCUAAGGUCCCUGACAGUCCUGAGAUCUUUCAUCUUGUCUAUUUCAGGUCAAAGGUGCCUACAUGUUCCUUCUAGCUUUGUUUCCCUGAUGUUCCUUGCCACCUGCUACUCCUCUCUGAGCUA